GUCCUCGCGCAGAAAAAGCCGCUCUGACCCAGUUUACUACUUUGAGCUCAACCUUGAGACCUCGUUUACUAUGAACAAUAGUGUAGUAUUCGAUUUUUACUUUUACGAGUUUCUGACAAACCAGUACAAGCGCAGUUUCGUUGAGAUGCAUUUCAAGAUGUGCAAUAUGGUAAAAUACGACCCCUUCUUCGGCACCGCGUUUAGAUCAGCCGGUUUGAAGGAAACGUGUCCCUAUCCCCCGGUAAUUACGCACCAUUGGGUAUCUUUUCCAGUAAUUCACGUU